rnacentral:rRNA from 1 species
GAUGAACGCUGGCGGCGUGCCUAAUACAUGCAAGUCGAGCGAACGGACGAGAAGCUUGCUUCUCUGAUGUUAGCGGCGGACGGGUGAGUAACACGUGGAUAACCUACCUAUAAGACUGGGAUAACUUCGGGAAACCGGAGCUAAUACCGGAUAAUAUUUUGAACCGCAUGGUUCAAAAGUGAAAGACGGUCUUGCUGUCACUUAUAGAUGGAUCCGCGCUGCAUUAGCUAGUUGGUAAGGUAACGGCUUACCAAGGCAACGAUGCAUAGCCGACCUGAGAGGGUGAUCGGCCACACUGGAACUGAGACACGGUCCAGACUCCUACGGGAGGCAGCAGUAGGGAAUCUCCCGCAAUGGGCGAAAGCCUGACGGAGCAACGCCGCGUGAGUGAUGAAGGUCUUCGGAUCGUAAAACUCUGUUAUUAGGGAAGAACAUAUGUGUAAGUAACUGUGCACAUCUUGACGGUACCUAAUCAGAAAGCCACGGCUAACUACGUGCCAGCAGCCGCGGUAAUACGUAGGUGGCAAGCGUUAUCCGGAAUUAUUGGGCGUAAAGCGCGCGUAGGCGGUUUUUUAAGUCUGAUGUGAAAGCCCACGGCUCAACCGUGGAGGGUCAUUGGAAACUGGAAAACUUGAGUGCAGAAGAGGAAAGUGGAAUUCCAUGUGUAGCGGUGAAAUGCGCAGAGAUAUGGAGGAACACCAGUGGCGAAGGCGACUUUCUGGUCUGUAACUGACGCUGAUGUGCGAAAGCGUGGGGAUCAAACAGGAUUAGAUACCCUGGUAGUCCACGCCGUAAACGAUGAGUGCUAAGUGUUAGGGGGUUUCCGCCCCUUAGUGCUGCAGCUAACGCAUUAAGCACUCCGCCUGGGGAGUACGACCGCAAGGUUGAAACUCAAAGGAAUUGACGGGGACCCGCACAAGCGGUGGAGCGUGUGGUUUAAUUCGAAGCAACGCGAAGAACCUUACCAAAUCUUGACAUCCUUUGACAACUCUAGAGAUAGAGCCUUCCCCUUCGGGGGACAAAGUGACAGGUGGUGCAUGGUUGUCGUCAGCUCGUGUCGUGAGAUGUUGGGUUAAGUCCCGCAACGAGCGCAACCCUUAAGCUUAGUUGCCAUCAUUAAGUUGGGCACUCUAAGUUGACUGCCGGUGACAAACCGGAGGAAGGUGGGGAUGACGUCAAAUCAUCAUGCCCCUUAUGAUUUGGGCUACACACGUGCUACAAUGGACAAUACAAAGGGCAGCGAAACCGCGAGGUCAAGCAAAUCCCAUAAAGUUGUUCUCAGUUCGGAUUGUAGUCUGCAACUCGACUACAUGAAGCUGGAAUCGCUAGUAAUCGUAGAUCAGCAUGCUACGGUGAAUACGUUCCCGGGUCU